UACAGAGGUCCCAAGCGUUGUUCGGAUUUACUGGGCGUAAAGGGUGCGUAGGCGGUCGGGUAAGUCUGGUGUGAAAUCUUAGAGCUUAACUCUGAAACUGCAUUGGAUACUAUUCGGCUAGAGGUCUGGAGGGGGGACUGGAAUUCUCGGUGUAGCAGUGAAAUGCGUAGAUAUCGAGAGGAACACCAGUGGCGAAGGCGAGUCCCUGGACAGAUCCUGACGCUGAGGCACGAAAGCUAGGGGAGCAAACAGG
rnacentral:rRNA from 1 species